GUUAUGGCCAACUUAGCCAGCAAUGCUCCUGCUGUACAGCUAUGGCCAUGGAGUGGAGGAGAUACAUGCAACCUUCUUGAGAAAAAGAAAGUCUUUGAUGUGGCCAUGGCAAGACUGCGCUUGGAAGAGGAGAAAGCCAUUUUGGAGGGAGAGAUGGCCAAACACUCAGCCUCACUCAAAGCAGAGGCAGAAGCAGUGAGAAGGAAAAUACAUGACCAUAGAUGUAGAGACUCCCCAGAUGAAACAUGUAGCCAUCUCUGUCUGUUAAGGUCAAAGUUGGCCCAACUCCAAAAACAUUUAGAGGUGGUCUGCCAGGCAUACAUGUCAAACGCAGCAGUAGUGGACCCCAAUGAUAAUGAGGAACAAUGGAUGACAAAUGACACAGACGAAGAUGAAAGCGGUGGAGACAGUGAUGACAAUAACGAUGAAGAAUGUUAUUAAUUAGGAGAUCGUCUGAGCCCAUAAGUAUUAACAUAUUGAUAGUCCGUCACAGGCAAAGACUAUCAAGAUGGGGCAGUGUUAUCCAUCUGAAAUUGAUUUGGUUGUU